rnacentral:ncRNA from 2 species
AUAUUAUUUUGGACCUCUUUCUGUAUAAUGCUGAUAAUAUGGUUCAGCAGUCUCUACCAAACAACCGUAAACUGUUUGGCUACAGUAAGGGGGGUAAACUGA